rfam:Ixodes scapularis strain Wikel colony gcontig_1108378933710, whole genome shotgun sequence.
UCCUGGUUAGCUCAGUUGGUAGAGCGCUCCACUGGAAAUGAAGAGGUCCCUGGUUUGAUACCAUGGACCAGGUG